CUGGUGUCUUCAUCAGAAGUGAUCUGAUGUUAAAACUUAAGUCCUUACAUACUCCAGUCUACUAUCUUCAUCAAGAGGGAUCUGUUGUUAAAACUUGAGUCAAUACUCCAGUCUAGAGUCUUCGUCAGGAAUGAUCUAAUGUUGAAAAUAGAGCUCUUAUAUACUCCAGUCUAGUGUCUUCAUCAGGAAUGAUCGGAUUUUGAAACAUGAGUUCUUAUAUACUCCAGCCUUGUGUUUUCAUCGCAAUUAAUGUUGAAGCCUGCAACAUUAUUACUACAUUCUGUGUAGUAUCAGGAUUGAUUUCAUAUUAUGUGCUGAACCUAUUUGUUCUCGAAACUACGUUUUUAUGAAGUUGCAUGAUGAAAUUUUAACGUUAUAUAAGUCUUUCGUAUGAGCUCCGAGCGUGAGUUCAAUGCACUAGAACGCUAUUAAAUUUUUGUGAUUAUUUUAUUCACUAGCGAAGAAGUUACUUACAACAGUCGUGAGCUUAAAUUAUGUGUUUAAGUGAAACUAGGAUAGGCUAAUUUCUUUGAUGGCAGUACAUUAUUCUCGACAGAAUAUUAUACAUACGUUAUGUACGUCACUACAAAAUAAUCUAUCCUCAUUGUUUUGAUUGUUUAUUACUUAUGCUGUGGUAAGCUCGAAUGCCACUUUCAUGUGCCAUAUACACACCACAGUUUGACGAUAUAUGCAAAUUUUUACCAGAUACGGUCGGAAGAGAUUAAACACCCCCCUGUUCUGAACUUUACAACUAUACAAAUCAGAAAACUAUUCCAUCUAAAUCAUCUGCUUCAUCAUCUGCUGAUGCUCCUCGGUCCAUUAAAUGGUGUGGAAGGGAGCGCCGUCUACUCGCUGUCGCGUGAUCUUGUGGGUAAAGUAAAAAGAUGCAAGCUCAUUUCGCCAGUGUUGUUUAGAUAGAAAUUGAUUAAAAACUUUUCUAUUAGAAGGUGACGUUUGAUAAAGGUAUUUAUCUUCCUGCAAGUACAUGCAUUUUUCCAGAAAAAACUGAGCUUUAUGCUUCGACUUAGGUUUUUUCAUUCAAUAGCCCUUUUCCCAUGCGUUUGUACAUCGGGACUUUUUGUUGUGAAUAGGAAUAAAUAAUUCUGUUAAUUAAACAAUAUUGUUUGUUUUGCAUA